AGUACCUCCCAGUAUCCCCCAGUGCCUCCCAGUAUCUCCCAGUGUCACGCAAUGCCUCCCAGUUCCCUCCCAGUCUCCCCCAUGCCAUCCUCUGCCCUCCCAGUACCUCCCAGUCCCCUCCCAGUACCUCCCAGUCCCCUCCCAGUACCUCCCAGUAUCCCCCGGUACCUCCCAGUACCUCCCAGUACACCCCAGUGCUUCCCAGUGCGUCCAUUCCCAUCCCCAUGAAGUCUUCUGGCCCUCCCAGCAUCACCUCCCAGUACCUCCCAGUACCUCCCAGUAUCACCCCCCAGUACCUCCCAGUGUUCUCCCAGUCUCCCCCCAUCACAUCCUGAUCCCUCCCAGUAUCCCCCAGUACCUCCCAUUCCUAUCCCAGUCUACCUUGUAACAUCUUCAGCCCUCCCAGUACCUCCCAGUACCUCCCAGUGUUCUCCCAGUCUCCCCCCAUGACAUCCUGAUCCCUCCCAGUAUCCCCCAGUACCUCCCAGUACCUCCCAGUACCUCCCAUUCCCAUCCCACUCUACCUCGUAACAUCCUCAGCCCUCCCAGUAUCUCCCAGUACGUCCCAGUAUCCCCAAUCCCACCCCCACGAAGUCCUCAGGCCCUCCCAGUAUCACCCCCCAGUACCUCCCAGUACCUCCCAGUACCUCCCAGUGCCCCCCACCGACCCCAAUCCCAUCCCCACGCAGCCCCCCAGCCCUCCCCCAGCCCCCAGUAUCCUCCAGUCCAUCCCAGUCCUCCCAUCCCUGACCCCAGGGCUUGGGGGGGGGCGGGGGGGGGGGCACGGCCCUCCCAGUGCCCCCCCAGUCUGACCAGUGCUCCCAGUUCCCCCCGAGCCGCCCACCAUCGAGGGACUGGAGUCGCCGCAGGUGCGGGUGGGGGACACGCUGCGACUGGUGUGCGUGGCCCGGGGGGGCAACCCGCCGCCCAGUCUGCACUGGGAGAAGGACGGGGUCCCGCUGGCGGUGCCGUGGCAGGGUGACACUCUGGGUGCCGGUGACACAGUGGGUGCCGUUGUCACGCCGGGUGCCGGUGACACUGUGGGCGCGGCGCUGUCCCGCAGCCGGGUGACGCUGCCGGUGACACGCGGGGACGACGGCGUCACCCUGCGCUGCUACAGCCGCAGCGAGGCCGGGGGAGGGGGCAGCGCCAGCGUCACCCUCAGGGUCACGUGUGAGUGCGGCACCGGGACCCACUGGGAGGGACUGGGACGGACUGGGAGGGACUGGGAAGACUGGGAUGGACUGGGAGGACUGGGAGGGAAUGGGAGGACUGGGAGGGAAUGGGAGCACUGGGAUGGACUGGGAUGGACUGGGAGACCGGAGUGGGAUGGACUGGGAUGGACUGGGACGGACUGGGAGCACUGGGAGGGACUGGGAGGACUGGGAUGGACUGGGAGCACUGGGACAGACAGGGAGCACUGGGAUGGACUGGGAGAUCACACUGGGCUGUACUGGGAGCACUGGGAUGGACUGGGCUGGACUGGGAGACCACACUGGGCUGGACUGGGAGCACUGGGAGGGACUGGGAGACCGGACUGGGAUGGACUGGGAGCACUGGGCUGUACUGGGAGACCACACUGGGAUGGACUGGAAGCACUGGGAGACCAUGCGGGGCAU
rnacentral:lncRNA from 1 species